rnacentral:lncRNA from 10 species
GCUGUUAAUCAUGACUAAUUGAGAGCAGAGGAAAAAAAAAUGUCACUUGUAGAGGGAAAGCAGUAUUUCAGAAUUCCUGUAAACAAAGCUUUGGCUAAAAGAUUGAAUAGAAAGAGCAAAAAUGAGAAAGAAGGUGUUUUGGGCCUGGCCCCCAACGAUAUUAAACUAUUGUAACUGUUUUGAAUUGAGCUGGAAUGGCUAGAUUGAAGAAGAUUGAAAAAGAAAGCUUGAAAGUUUGUCCUGUGAAGGCAUUAGAACCUCCUGGAAGAUGCCAAAAUAUCUUUGAGUAUAGAUGUCUCCAGGAUGUUAGUGCCAAGGCUCCAGAGAACUCUCCACUGCAUCAGCCUUUAGCUUGAAUGCCUGCUGUCAACUCCCGUGGACACCAUCACAGAUCUUAGGACUCAUCUAUUUAACAUGGGAUCCGUGCCCGGGACCAAGACACUGAUUUGUCUAUAAACUUCCAGUGCUGUGACAUGGCAGCAACCCUCAGGCAACAGAAGCAUGAAAGGGCUCAAGCAGAACCAAACCCAGGUUUGCUCCCAAGAAUGUAACUGCAGGAUGUACUGGGAAUGCAAUAUGGCGAGAUAAGAGAGUAGCUGGCCAGAACAGCCCAGGUUCUGUUCCAGUCCCUUCUUAGAAAAGAAUGCCCUUCAAUGCUUUUGCCCAAUGAUUCACAUAACCCUGGGCUGUAUAAGUCAGAGUGAUUUGCAGGGUCCCUUAGCUAGGAUGCAAGUGGGGCACAUGCAAUCAAGACGCCAUCUCCAAGCUGGGCAGC